rnacentral:rRNA from 1 species
GACGAACGCUGGCGGCAUGCCUAACACAUGCAAGUCGAACGACACCAUCGGGUUUGGUUGCUCAGGGGUGCGUCACCCGUGGGAACCUGCCCUUAGGCUUAGCCUAACUCCCCGCUAGGGGUGCUAAUACCUCUUAAUGUCUUCGUACCACAGAUUUAUAGCCUUUGGAUGGGUGGGCGCGGGAUUAGCUAGAUGGUAGUGUAAAAGCCGACCAAGGCGACGUUCCAUAGCUGGUCUGAGAGGAUGGUCAGCGACACUGGGACUGAGACACGGCCCAGACUCCUACAGGAGGCAGCAGUGGGGAAUAUUGGACAAUGGACGAAAGUCUGAGACAGCAAUGCUGCGGGAGUGAUGAAGGUCUUAGGGUUGUAAAGCUCUUUUAACCGAGAUGAUAAUGACAGUACCGGGUGAAUAAGCACCGGCUAACUCCGUG